UACGUAGGGGGCCAGCGUUGUCCGGAAUCAUUGGGCGUAAAGCGCGCGUAGGCGGCCAGAUAAGUCCGGUGUGAAAGUCACAGGCUCAACCUGUGAAUGCCGCUGGAAACUAUCUGGCUAGAGUCCGGAAGGGGCGAGUGGAAUUCCUGGUGUAGCGGUGAAAUGCGCAGAUAUCAGGAGGAACACCUAUGGCGAAGGCAGCUCGCUGGGACGGUACUGACGCUGAGGCGCGAAAGCGUGGGGAGCGAACAGG
rnacentral:rRNA from 1 species